ensembl:lncRNA LINC01387 long intergenic non-protein coding RNA 1387
GUAUUUCAAAGCUCUCUGGGUCCUGGGGAUGAGCAGUGCCCUCUCAUCCUGUAAUAAUCGUGGACAUCACACACUGAUGUACAGACAUGGUGCCAGCGCCUCCCUUCCUUGGGGUCUUGGAAAACCCGGUGCCACAAUGGGAUCUAAGUAUCCUUGGAUCAAUACGGAUUCGUGUUUCUCACACCGAAGUUCAGGGCUCUGGCAGCUCCAGGUCCCCUGAGGCCCUGAGGAAAGAGUCACUUGAAGUGGAGUGGACCCUGGUACUACUUGCAAUUCCUCCAAGAAUUCAACCCAGCCAGCAAGACGGAGGGCCUCCCAAAUGCUGCGAUCUGCUCCGUGCUGCUCUGCUGGGCCGUCACUGCCCCCUGUGCGUUCCUGCGGGCGAGGUCUUCUCCCAGAAGCGAGACAAUGAACAGGACAGAAGUGAAUUCAUUGGCCAGACCCUCAAACUGUUGGUGAAGAGGAACGUUUCCUUGGAAUUAAGCUGCCGCUAAGUAAAGGUCAAGGCACGGGGCAGCUGGAUGUCCGUGUGGAUCCUGCAAAUGGAGAGGCUCUGCUGUGGAAACAGAAUGGAACUUAACCUCAGCUAAAACAGUGGUGGAG